AAGCAGGCUGCCUGCCCUAGCAGUAGCAACUUGCUCAGAUUUAUGUUUCCGUAGUGUGGGAGCUUUGUUCUUUCACUGUUUGCGUAGACAGGAUUUCACCAUGUUGGCCUGGCUGGUCUUGAACUCCUGACCUCAUGAUCCACCCACCUUGGCCUCCCAAAAUGCUAGGAUUACAGGUUUGAGACAGGGUCUCACUCUGUCACCCAGGCUGGAGUACAGUGGCUCGACCUCAGCUCACUACAACCUCUGCCUCCUGGGCUCAAUCAAUCUUCCCACAUCAGCCUCGUAGGCUCCAGAGAGAGACAAGGAGAUGAGGAGACAAGCAGACGAACAGCGGAACAAUGCAGCAGAGAAAGAGAGAAGAGAAGGAACGUCUGAACGUCGAGAGGAGUUCGGCUGCUGGACGGCCAAACUCCAGGGGAAGAUCAUCUUCCCACUCCAUUCCCCCUCCAGCUCCCCAUCCAUCCCACUGAGAG
rnacentral:lncRNA from 1 species